ensembl:lncRNA
UUGUCCAAGCAGUGCAUUUCUAAGUAGACAAAAGGAGAGAUGUAUAAAAGAAAGGGAGAGUAAAGGUGUACUCCUGCCCUGCAUGCUGAGUUUCAAUAGCUUUCUGGGAUUAUUUUUAAACUGCCUCCUGAAGUUUCAUGCUGCAUCAAAGGCUACUUAUCCAUUUUUUCCAAUAUAACCUUUUCCACAUCAUUAUUUUAUUUUAUUUUAUUUUAUUUUAUUUUAUUUUAUUUUAUUUUAUCUUAUUUACCCUAUAGCUCCUAACCGUACUUUGGGCUUUCAGGAAAGGUAUCUGGUCUAAAAGAAAGUGAGAAGGGAUCAGGAAAAACUGUGUUAUUGUGCCCUGAUCAUCAAAGCAUUGGAAUAUGCAAAAUGAAACUAUAUUAGGUAAUUUUUGGAAAGAGGAUUAAAGCUUUUCUGGUAGAUGUCUGAGAAAACAAAUGGUAAUCCUUUCCAUUCCAAACCUCUCCAUUCGAUCUUGUGAAGAAAUAAAUUUUCAGAAAUAGAGGUAGGAGACAAUAUGGAUAUUUUCUGAGCAAAAAAUUAUGAGAACUGAUGGUAAAACACAAAAAUAUGACACAGAAACACAUGCAAAAACGCUGAAAACAGUACAUUAUUUCUUCAAAUAUCUCCAGAACUAAAGGAUAGCUCUCGUGGAUUUUGUUGCUGUUCGCAAAUCAGAAUAACUUCUUCAGGACUGCCCAUCACUUACAAUUUUAGAUUACUUAUUCUGGGUUUUUAAAUGAACACACACAUUGUAAGCACACAUAUUUUUUUGAAAGCUAGGGAAAGUUUGUUGCCAGCAACGUUUUCCUAACAGUUUAGUUAAUCUUCAUUCAAGUCUUUCUGAGAUAGCUCUUCCAGCUGAGAUACUUCAAGUUAAAACAACAUUGUAAACAAAGAUUUUGUUUGUUUGCUUAUUUUAUUUCUCAUUAAAAUGUUGUCCCGUGAUGAUUGGACUUUUGAAAAUACUAGCUUGGCUGAGAAAGGAAGUCAGCAAAUAUUUUUAUUUCAAUAUAAGAAGCACUGUGGAAUUGGGAAGACAUAGUUGCAUCUGCAAAGCUUUUAUUUUUGUUGUAUAUUUUCUUAUUAUAUAUUAUAUAUGCUUUCAUAUGUGUUUUUUGUUGUUGUUGUUGUUGCUGUUGCUUUUGUAAUGCUAUUAUAGUGCUGUAUAUUGUUUGUAUUACUAAUAUAAAUAAAUGUGUCAUAAC